CAAAGGAAUUGACGGGGCCCGCACAAGCGGUGGAGCAUGUGGUUUAAUCGAAGCAACGCGAAGAACCUUACCAGGUCUUGACAUCCCCUGACAACCCAAGAGAUUGGGCGUUCCCCCUUCGGGGGGACAGGGUGACAGGCGGUGCAUGGUUGUCGUCAGCUCGUGUCGUGAGAUGUUGGGUUAAGUCCCGCAACGAGCGCAACCCUCGCCUCUAGUUGCCAGCAUUCGGUUGGGCACUCUAGAGGGGACUGCCGGCGACAAGUCGGAGGAAGGUGGGAUGACGUCAAAUCAUCAUGCCCCUUAUGUUCUGGGCUACACACGUGCUACAAUGGCCGGUACAGACGGAGGCGAAGCCGCGAGGCGGAGCAAAUCCGAAAAAGCCGGUCUCAGUUCGGAUUGCAGGCUGCAAUUCGCCUGCAUGAAGUCGGAAUCGCUAGUAAUCGCAGGUCAGCAUACUGCGGUCGAAUACGUUCCCGGGCCUU
rnacentral:rRNA from 1 species